rnacentral:rRNA from 1 species
UAAGUAGGCGGUGGAAAAUGAACCAAAUGGGAUUCCUUAAGUAAUUGCGAAUGAACAAGGAACUGCUCAGCUUGAAAAUUGGGGCCUUCGGCCUUGAAUUGUAAUUUUGAAAUGUAUUGCCAAUGGAGGCGCAGGUGCAAGCCUAUUGAAAGAAAGCGUCAAUGAGGGUGAGAUUCCUUUUUGUCAUUUGCAGUCCUCCGUGCACGGUAUAUAUUUGACGAGUCACACUCCUUGGCAUUGGAAUGCAAAGUGGGUGGUAAAUUCCAUGUAAAGGAAAAUAUAUUAUUGAGACUGAUAGCAAACAAGUACCAUGAGGGAAAUAUGAAAAGGACUUUGAAAAGAGAAUUAAAAGAGUCUGCAUUUGCUGAACAGAAAGCAAACAGAAUUGAUCUACUUGGUGAGAUUGUUGCGUCCACUUGUGGGUGCAAUGGUUCUUGCCUUGAAUGUCAGCGUCUAUUUCUGCAAAUUAUUACCCUUGCAUAUGAAUUGUAAUUUGCCUGUGGGCAUUGGAAUGCAUGUGUUUGCAAUGAUUUGUGAUUUGAUACAUGUGUCUGGUGUUCGCGUGUGUGCCUUCUUGCUAACACGGGGAGGGCUCUCCUCCCUGGGCACUGCAUGCCCUUGCACAUUGUUGCUGGCAAAAUGUUUCUGCUUGACCCG